CCUACGGGAGGCUGCAGUGGGGAAUAUUGGACAAUGGGGGGAACCCUGAUCCAGCCAUGCCGCGUGUGUGAAGAAGGCCCUCGGGUUGUAAAGCACUUUCAGUGAGGAAGAACGCCUGGUGGUUAAUACCCAUCAGGAAAGACAUCACUCACAGAAGAAGCACCGGCUAACUCCGUGCCAGCAGCCGCGGUAAUACGGAGGGUGCGAGCGUUAAUCGGAAUUACUGGGCGUAAAGCGCGCGUAGGUGGCUUGAUAAGCCGGUUGUGAAAGCCCCGGGCUCAACCUGGGAACGGCAUCCGGAACUGUCAAGCUAGAGUGCAGGAGAGGAAGGUAGACUUCCCGGUGUAGCGGUGAAAUGCGUAGAGAUCGGGAGGAAUACCAGUGGCGAAGGCGGCCUUCUGGACUGACACUGACACUGAGGUGCGAAAGCGUGGGUAGCAAACAGGCUUAGAUACCCCAGUAGUC
rnacentral:rRNA from 1 species